GAAACCUCACCCCCUGUGAUGUCAAAGUCGCAUCGGGUGGACUUGGACCGUGCCGUGGCUGGCUCGUCCUGAAAUGCAUUAGCCUGGUCGUCGGACCGAAAGGCCGUGGUGUGAUAAUCUAUCUGCGCCAGUAAGUGCCCUAGGUGUAAUUCGACUCUGGACCGGCUCACAGUCGUCCGCGAGGACAGCACAACUUGACA
rnacentral:misc_RNA from 1 species